GGUCCCAAGGGUUUGGCUGUUCGCCAAUUAAAGCGGUACGCGAGCUGGGUUCAAAACGUCGUGAGACAGUUUGGUCCCUAUCUGUUGCGGGCGCAGGAUACUUGAAAGGAGCUGCUUCUAGUACGAGAGGACCGAAGUGGACGAACCAAUGGUGUUCCGGUUGUACUGCCAAGUGCAUCGCCGGGUAGCUAUGUUCGGAAAGGAUAAGCGUUGAAAGCAUCUAAACGCCAAGCCUCCCUUAAGAUAAAGUAUCCCUAUGAGACUCCACGAAGAUCACGUGGUUGAUAGGUUGGGUGUGGAAGUGCAGUAAUGCAUGAAGCUAACCAAUACUAAUUAGUCCAUAGGCUUGACCAC
rnacentral:rRNA from 1 species